ACCGGCAGCUCAAGUGGUGGCCAUUUUUAUUGGGCCUAAAGCGUUCGUAGCCGGUUUGAUAAGUCUCUGGUGAAAUCCCGCAGCUUAACUGUGGGACUUGCUGGAGAUACUAUUAGACUUGAGGUCGGGAGAGGUUAGGGGUACUCCCAGGGUAGGGGUGAAAUGCUAUAAUCCCGGGAGGAAUACCUGUGGCGAAGGCGCCUUACUGGACCGACCCUGACGCUGAGUAACGAAAGCCAGGGGAGCGAACCG
rnacentral:rRNA from 1 species